rnacentral:tRNA from 1 species
AUUUGAAUAGCUUAAAAGAAGAGCGUAACAUUGAAGAUGUUAAAGUGGUGUAUACCUUCAAG